UGUUGGGUUUUUUUAAUAUUUUUGUUUGAAUAACUUCUUUUGUUUGAUGUUUGAAUUGAAUUUUUGUAAUUUAGUGUGAUGAUUGUUAAUUAGAAAUAGAAAAUUUAUAAACUCUAAUUUGUUAAAAUGUUAUGUGCUUGAAGGUUGGAACUCGAAGAACAUAGGGUUUGCGUCGGCACAAGUUAAGUUGAUAAACUAAUGAUCAGUUAGAAGCUGAUACUUGAAAGAUUGGAGCUCGAAGAACAUAAGAUUUGCCUCGGCACAUGUUAAGUUGAAAACUGAUCAUCAGUUAGAAGCUGAUACUUGAAAAGCUAAGUUGUCUAUUCUUGAGCUAAAUAUAACUUUUUUUAUUUUCUUAUUUUGUUAACUUUCUCAACUUCUAUUUCUAUGUUAGCACUUCUACCUAAUCUCUACCAAACAUUACUUUUGAAGUAACUCCACCAUGCAACUUAAUAAAAUUAAAGAUUAGCUACUAACCGUAUCAUGAAAUUAUUUAGAGUUGAGGUAGAGGUACGGACCUAGGAAAUAGAAAUUGAGACGGUGAACAAAAUAUAGUUUGAUGAUUGUUAAUUAAAAAUAGAAAAUUUAUAAACUCUAAUUUGUAUAUUUGUGACUAGAUAACCCGGAGUCAUUAAGUGCGGCGGAUGAAGGUUAGCUCUGGAGCGUCUUACUGUGAGUAGUAUAUUAGACAUAUGUAUGUAUAUGCUUUUUCUCCUAUCUCCUUUGCAAUAUGCAUGCGUUUAAAUGCGAAUGAGAAUGACCAAACUUAGUGAUUAAGAUGAUAUGCCCGCAGGCAUUAUGUGAAAAAGUAGAUUUUAACUGCAUAACUAGAUUGAGUUAGAACGUCCUAGACGAUGGGGUAAUCAUCGGACAUAGGCGCAUAUGCUUGACACGUGAUAUUAGGCUUAGAGUGCUUUGUUAUUGUUAUUUUGAUCAGUAUUGCUAGGUGUUUAUUGAUGUUGAUGUGAUUGUCUGUGUUUACAUCUUUAUUAUGAUCUCAAUCAGCCGUCAGAAAGAAAUGCCGCCACUAUCCAAAUAGACUGAUUGGGUUAGUAGCUAAUACUUAAUUUUGUUAAGUUGCAUGGCGGAGUUACUUCAUAGUUCUUAUUGGGUUAUUUUAGUGUUUUUGUCUGAAUUACUUUUUUUGUUUGAUGUUUGAAUUGCAUUGUUUCUAAUAUUGUCUGAUGAUUGUUAAUUAGAAAUAUAAAAUUUAUUAAACUCUAAUUUAUUAAAAAUGGUAUGUGCUUGAAGAUUGGAGCUCGAAGAACAUAAGAUUUGCCUCGGCACAUGUUAAGUUGAUGAACUGAUCAUCAGUUAGAAGCUGAUACUUGAAAAGCUAAGUUGUCUAUUCUUGAGCUAAAUAUAACUUUUUUUAUUUUCUUAUUUUGUUAACUUUCUCCAUUUCUAUUUCUAUGUUAGUACUUCUACCUUAUCUCUACCAAACAUUACUUUUGAAGUAACUCCACCAUGCAACUUAAUAAAAAUUAAAGAUUAGCUACUGACCCUAUCAUGAAAUUAUUUAGAGUUGAGGUAGAGGUACGGACCUAGGUAAUAGAAAUUGGUACAGUGAACAAAAUAUAGUUUGAUGAUUGUUAAUUAGAAAUAUAAAAUUUGUUAAACUCUAAUUUGUUAAAAAUGGUAUGUGCUUGAAGAUUGGAGCUCGAAGAACAUAAGAUUUGCCUCGGCACAUGUUAAGUUGAAGAACUGAUCAUCAGUUAAAAGCUGAUACUUGAAAAGUUAAGUUGUCUAUUCUUGAGCUAAAUAUAACUUUUUUUAUUUCCUUAUUUUGUUAACUUUCUCAAUUUCAAUUUCUAUGUUAGUACUUCUACCUCAUCUCUACCAAACAUUACUUUUGAAGUAACUCCACCAUGCAGCUUAAUAAAAUUAAAGAUUAGAUACUAACCCUAUCAUGAAAUUAUUUAGAGUUGAGGUAGAGGUACGGACCUAGGAAAUAGAAAUUGAGAUAGUGAACAAAAUAUAGUUUGAUGAUUGUUAAUUAGAAAUAGAAAAUUUAUAAACUCUAAUUUGUAUAUUUGUGACUAGAUAACCAGGAGUGAUUAAGUUCUACAAAUAGAGGAUAGCUCUUGAGCGCCUUCCUGUGAGUGGUAUAUUAUACAUAUAUGUUGGAGCUCGAAAAACAUAAGGUUUGCGUCGGCACAAGUUAAGCUGAAAAACUGAUGAUUAGUUAGAAGCUAAUACUUGAAAGGUUAAGUUCCUUAUUCUUGAGCUAAGUAUAACUUUUUAAUUUCCUUAUUUUGUUUACUAUCUCAACUUCUACUUUAAAGGUUAGUACAUCUACCUCGUCUUUAAAUAAUUCCAUGAUAGGGUUAGUAGCUGAUUUUUAAUUUUAUUAUGUUGCAUGGUAGAGCUCCUUUAAAAGUCAUGUUGGGUUAUUUUACUUCUUUUGUUUGAUUCUUGAAUUCAAUCGUUUGCAAUAUAGUAUGAUGAUUGUUAAUUAGAAAUAUAAAAUUUAUAAACUCUAAUUUGUUAAAAAUGGUAUGUGCUUGAAGAUUGGAGCUCGAAGAACAUAA